rnacentral:tRNA from 1 species
GCCCCUGUAGCUCAGUGGUAGAGCGCGUCCUUGGUAAGGACGAGGCCACGGGUUCAAAUCCCGUCGGGGGCU